GUGGAGAGCUGGACAGAAGUCCCAGGAUAAGCCCCUGCAGAGAAAAACAGUCCCAAGGCAUAAGCUGACAUUCAACAAGGGCUGCUGAAGAAAAAAUAAGAUUUCUUUAUUAUCUGAAGGAUCAUUCUUCAUAUCAAAACAUACACUCCUGGAGGAAAAAAAAGUAAAGCAAUCCCAUUACACAGGAAGAUCACCUCCUGAGGUCUCUUCUCUUAUCAGCAAAACAAAGGCAUAGAAUUAUAGAAUUUCUAAUACCUCAUCCAGCUCUGCUGAUUGUGAAUCAACUUUUGAUGAUAAAAACAAUUAAGGAAAAAAAAUAAGGAACAAACUUAACUUCAAUCUUGGAAAAUAAAAAAAACCACGGGUACCUAUAAACCUUCCUCUCCUGUCUUCUCCUCCUCCAUCCUGGGAGCAACAGCAGUUAUUACCAGCAAAGAUUCUGUAGGUGAAGAAUUCUAACAGAAUAUAUUAGGAAUGGAUUAUCCCUGCCCCUGCAGUCUGAGGCUUUCAAGUCCAAAGUUGGAGGCCAUAAUUAUAUCAAAAAACUGAGUGGUGAUGUUGGCUGUAGGCAGAUCCAUUAGCAGGGGCUAAUGUCCUGAACACAUUUAUGAGAUUGCCUUAAAAGCUUGGCAUGAUCCAGUUCUGUCCAAGGAGGAGAAAGGAUUCAAGAGAAACUACAAAAGACAGAACAAGGAAAUGAGAUGAAGGAAUGAAGGCUGGGAGAGAUUAAGUCACCUGUCUGGGGCCACACAGCUAAUCAUGCAGCCCUUAGUCUUAACCAUUGAGAUCUACUUCCUUCAGUGGAGUGCACUCUGGGGCCAUGCAGAGUCACUCCUUGGACAGUACUGGGCCUAAGCAAGGAAAUGGUUUUAUGUGUUCCUGGAUUUCAGAAUUACUAUCAAUGCAAGACUGAAUACAGUAGUGUACCAAAGGGGAAGCAAGGAAGAUCUGCUCCAACCAGGAUAAGUAUUUAUCACUGACACUGUUUAUUAACCCUUCCUGUGUGUGGUCACAAAAAGUAUUCUUUGAUGUACACACAUAUAUAUAUAUAUGCUUGUUUUUAGAUCCUUACAGGCCAUUCACUUCCUUACAACUCACUUAUGGUAGACAGCUCCCAGCUACCUACCCACCCACAUUAUAGUCCUCUGCUUUGUGACUCUCAAUAAGCUCCUCACUUAUUUCAAAAGGGAUCUAUUGUGGGUAUCUUGGGUGAGUGUGCAGCAGACAACACACCCCUUUGAUUCCCUAAACCUCCAAUCCAGAGGACCUGGCCCCCCGGGGCUGUAUUCCAGCAACCACACUCCAGAAGCCUAGUCCAUGAUGCCUCUGCAGAGACCUGGAGAUGAGUCCCUGAGACUGAAUCAGAGCCUAUAGAAGAGGGAAGCUUCUGGGAGGUAUACAGAACAGAUGAAUGCACCUUUCAUGAGGGAGAAAUAUGAAUUUUGAGUUUCCAAAAAGUGGCUGUGAUGUUCCGUGAUAUUGGUGGUUAUGAUAUCUAUACUGUUUCUUCAUCUCUUCCAUUAGAUCUAGGUAGACUCGCUUUCCUUAUUAUCCAAAUAUAGUGAGAGGGACACUAUGCCAGUUCUGUCGCUUUGGUUUUCAGAAAACCUGGCAGCUUCAGUUUUGUACCCUUGAGAUUUCCCAGUUGUCACAAAAGACUAUAGUGGAGAAGCCACAGAGAAUUGAGAGAUCCCUGAGAGUACAAGAUUACAGACCAGAGUGGAGACAAAGAAAGAGACAAAGACACAAACUCUGUCCUUUCAGCACUCCAGCUGGGACCAGUGUCCAGGUGACCCACCAAAUAAAUCCAACACAGAUGCAUUUUCCAUCCGUCUGUCUUGCUGCACACAGAGGAACCAGCCACUGAGCUCCUGUGCCAUCUGGUCUCUAGGUAGGUUCAGCCAACGGAACCCCAGAACAUCAGAGUGACAGACAGGAGGAAUCCCAACCUGGUAGGGAUUGAACUUCUCUCUACAAAGCCUCCUGGGCUCGCUAUAUUCCUCCAACUCAAUUUAGUACUUCUCACAAAGGUAGCUUCUCUACCAGGCUUCCUGCUCCUGCGAUCUGAAAAUUGCUCCCUUUUCUUAUCUCUUCAAGGGUUAAAAACAUUAGCUUCUCCAGUGUUCUUUAGCACAGACCAGAAUCUUUCUUUUGGUUUCUUUAGACACUUUUAGAAGUCCUACCAAUGUGUGUGUGUGUUGGGGGGGGAGGUGACAAAGUGCUUGUCAACUUAUCCUAAUAUCUGGGACAUUUGUGUUCUGUUGGGACCCUAUCUAGCCAACAUAUAUACUUCACAAUCAUGAUAACCAGCCAUCAUGUUAAAUUUUCCCUUCUUGUUUUGUGCCACUGUACCUCGUACAUUGCUAUUUCCCUUGCCAUUUUCCUCCUUCUUCAAGUUUCACUUAAAACAGCUUCCCAUUCUAUGACUCCUUCCUGAGCCUUUUUUAAAUUCAGGUAUUUGUAUAUUCACAGUGAAUUCUUUCUACACUGUGUAUUUUUAAGGAUGGGAAUUGUGUCUAAUUUCUUCUGCGUCUUCAGCAGUUUGCACCAGCAGACCAGCAUUACUAUUUUUUUUCACACAACUGAACUAAUGUAUGAUGCAAUGAAAGAGGAAGUAUGGUUUUUCAGAUUAGACUAAAAGCAGCAUCUUCCAGGCAACCCUGCAAUGAGUUAUAUAAAUGUGCAAGUGCAAAACAAGGAUUGAAAAAAGAAGAGCAACAUCAAUAGCAGAGCAGUAGCUGCUACUCUUCCUAUAACCUAAAAAGCAACAAUAAUUAAGAAAUCAUUGCCUAUUUUUUUUACAGUAGAGUUGGCAACUCUGAGCAAGCAUCUCAAUAACCCCCAGGAUCACCACUGUGAGCCUCUGGACAAAAAAUGCUAAUAGAUCAAACUGGUUUCUCUUGUUGUCCAGAUACAGUAUCAAAUACUACUUAACUCAAAAAUAAAAGUCAAUAUACCUUGGUCAACUCAUAUAUGAA